rnacentral:rRNA from 1 species
UACAGAGGUGGCAAGCGUUGUUCGGAAUUACUGGGCGUAAAGGGCGCGUAGGCGGCCUUCUAAGUCAGACGUGAAAUCCCCAGGCUUAACCUGGGAACUGCGUGUGAUACUCGGAUGGCUUGAAUUCGGGAGAGGGAUGCAGAAUUCCAGGUGUAGCGGUGAAAUGCGUAGAUAUGCGGAGGAACACCGAUGGCGAAGGCAAUCCCCUGGCCUGCGCACUGACG